UACGUAGGGUGCGAGCGUUAAUCGGAAUUACUGGGCGUAAAGCGUGCGCAGGCGGUUUUGUAAGCCAGAUGUGAAAUCCCCGGGCUUAACCUGGGAAUGGCAUUUGGGACUGCAAGGCUCGAGUGCGGCAGAGGAGACUGGAAUUCCUGGUGUAGCAGUGGAAAUGCGUAGAUAUCAGGAGGAACACCGAUGGCGAAGGCAGGUCUCUGGGCUGACACUGACGCUCAUGCACGAA
rnacentral:rRNA from 1 species